rnacentral:rRNA from 1 species
GACGAACGCUGGCGGCGUGCUUAACACAUGCAAGUCGAACGGUAAGGCCCUUUCGGGGGUACACGAGUGGCGAACGGGUGAGUAACACGUGGGUGAUCUGCCCUGCACUUUGGGAUAAGCCUGGGAAACUGGGUCUAAUACCGGAUAGGACUACGCGAUGCAUGUCGUGUGGUGGAAAGCUUUUGCGGUGUGGGAUGGGCCCGCGGCCUAUCAGCUUGUUGGUGGGGUGAUGGCCUACCAAGGCGACGACGGGUAGCCGGCCUGAGAGGGUGUCCGGCCACACUGGGACUGAGAUACGGCCCAGACUCCUACGGGAGGCAGCAGUGGGGAAUAUUGCACAAUGGGCGCAAGCCUGAUGCAGCGACGCCGCGUGGGGGAUGACGGCCUUCGGGUGGUAAACCCCUUUCAGCACAGACGAAGCGUAAGUGACGGUAUGUGCAGAAGAAGCACCGGCCAACUACGU